rnacentral:lncRNA from 1 species
GAUUACUCCAUGAGGUUUUCUAAGCUGAGCUGUGUCAGGAAUUCAGCCACAGGCUUUUCCGGCCUAUCACCUUCUUUCUUCAAUCUAUUGCUGUGGAUGGUGUCCAAGUGACUCACAAACCGUAAGUCGACCUACCCGUUACGCCAGGCAUCAGUCCCACGGCACCAUGCACGGGUCAGGUCCUCACUUUACGGCUGCAUUUGGUCUAAA